rnacentral:rRNA from 1 species
AGUGAACGCUGGCGGUAGGCCUAACACAUGCAAGUCGAACGGCAGCACAGUAAGAGCUUGCUCUUACGGGUGGCGAGUGGCGGACGGGUGAGGAAUACAUCGGAAUCUACUUUUUCGUGGAGGAUAACGUAGGGAAACUUACGCUAAUACCGCAUACGACCUACGGGUGAAAGCAGGGGAUCUUCGGACCUUGCGCGAUUGAAUGAGCCGAUGUCGGAUUAGCUAGUUGGCGGGGUAAAGGCCCACCAAGGCGACGAUCCGUAGCUGGUCUGAGAGGAUGAUCAGCCACACUGGAACUGAGACACGGUCCAGACUCCUACGGGAGGCAGCAGUGGGGAAUAUUGGACAAUGGGCGCAAGCCUGAUCCAGCCAUACCGCGUGGGUGAAGAAGGCCUUCGGGUUGUAAAGCCCUUUCGUUGGGAAAGAAAAGCAGCAGGUUAAUACCCCGCUGUUCUGACGGUACCCAAAGAAUAAGCACCGGCUAACUUCGUG